rnacentral:rRNA from 1 species
UACGUAGGGGGCAAGCGUUGGUCCGGAUUUAUUGGGCGUAAAGAGCGUGUAGGCGGCCAGGUAGGUCUGCUGUGAAAACUCGAGGCUCAACCUCGAGACGUCGGCGGAAACCAUCUGGCUAGAGUCCGGAAGAGGAGAGUGGAAUUCCUGGUGUAGCGGUGAAAUGCGCAGAUAUCAGGAAGAACCACCCGUGGCGAAGGCGGCGUCUCUGGGACGGUAC